AGCAAAUCCCACAGCACCCCAGUGUGAUGUCAGCAAACCCCACAGCCCCUCCAGUGUGAUCCCAGCAAACCCCACAGCUCCUCCAGCAGCACCUCCCACCAGGUUAAAGUCAAACACAACAAGUUAUACUUAAAAUAAUCAAGUGCCAGCAGCCCAGUAUUCCUGGUUCCCUAUUUCAUUUCCAACCCACCCCGUGACUAAACGUCUCCCCAGACCCCUGAUGUGACAAGGCAGUUCUGAAGGCAGAUAAUCCGAGGUGGGUGAGGCUGCUCCAGCACGCCGGGAAAUCCGCAGCGGAGCUGGCAGAGCUCCACUGGAAGAGCUGAUCAAUAGUUUAAAUCCAUAUCGGAUCAAAAAGGCAGAGGAGACUCACACAAAGCCAGUCCAGCCGUUAGGAACAGCUCCGAGCCCAGCCCAGCCCGGCAUCCCUGCGGAAGGUGUGCCCGGCACGGCGGCUCCCGACUGCCAUGGUGCCCCCAGAGCACAAACACGGGGAAAAUGAACCCCAAACCAACCAAAUCAAACAAAUCCAACCACCCCGGGGGUGGGAGCCCGCUGGGAUGAUCCCGGAGCUGCCGCAGCCGCCGCUGGCUCCGACCCCGGAGCCGCCGCAGCGAUGCCGGCGUAGGACAGGGAGCUGCAAAUCCCAGCGUUCCCGAUGGAUUCCAGCCUGGAAUGACACGAUGAGGAAUGACACGUGCCAAACGAUCCGCCCGCUGCUCCUCCGGGAUGAAGACCUUUUGUUCCCAAACCAUGAGACAACCAGAAGAUAAAUGAGGUUAAGAGGUAAUGAGCAGAACAGAAUGUCACCCUGGUCCUUGGGAAGACGUGGUCUCCUCUACUCUGGGAUAAGGAGAACUCAGUGCCAAAUUGGGUUAGCCCAGAAUUAAAUCUGGCAACACAAACAGAACAA